rnacentral:rRNA from 1 species
AGUCAAUGCUUGCUGUUCGUCGAAAGAUGUAACGGCAAGCGUUGGUUCACCUCCGCAAAGCUGCAUGUGCUCUUAACUGAGUGGAUGUAGAGUUGCGGGCUUUUACUGUGAGAAAAUUAGAGUGUUCAAAGCAGGCGUAUGCCCGAAUACAUUAGCAUGGAAUAACGAAAUAGGACGCGCGGUUCUAUUUUGUUGGUUUCUAGAGUCGCCGUA